rnacentral:rRNA from 1 species
ACUCAGUUCGGAUUGAAGGCUGAAAUUCGCCUUCAUGAAGCUGGAAUUGCUAGUAAUGGCAGGUCAGCAUACUGCCGUGAAUACGUUCCCGGGCCUUGUACACACCGCCCGUCACACCAUGAGAGUUGGGAAUACCCGAAGCCACUUAGCUAACCCAUUUGGGAAGCGAGUGUCGAAGGUGAAAUCAAUAACUGGGGUGAAGUCGUAACAAGGUAGC